GAUAGUGUCUCACUUCUGUCACAACUGGGGGACAUUUAUUCUUCUUACAUGGAUGCCAACAUAUUAUCACCAGGUAUUAAAGUUUAAUCUUACAGAAUCGGGACUUUUUGCGGUCUUGCCAUGGCUCACAAUGGCAGUCACUGCAAAUGUUGGUGGGUGGAUUGCAGAUUCACUGGUGAGGAGAGGCACAUCAGUGACUGUUGUCAGAAAGAUCAUGCAAACAAUAGGAUUUCUUGGACCUGCUUUCUUUUUAACCCAGUUGAGCCGUGUUGACUCUCCAGCAAUGGCAGUUCUCUGUAUGGCAUGCAGUCAGGGAAGUGAUGCUUUUUCACAAUCUGGUUUGUAUUCAAACCAUCAGGAUAUUGCUCCACG
rnacentral:misc_RNA from 1 species